AUGGCUGCAAUGGCGGGGACAGGGACAGCAGACAGAGGCCCUGGGGAGCACAGCGGGUGCCACCUGCACGCUGGGGUGAUCUGGACCCGCCUGCCCCUCGCCAGCUGUGACCCGGGCACGCAGCUGGGCACCCGCAGCCUCCCGGGUCUCCACGGCAGGGCCCGCACUCCCGAUCCCAGGACGCCUGGGCUGCUGCGAGGCCAGGGCACCUGCACCCAGGAGGCCUCCAGGAAGGAGCCACCGCUUUGCUUCAACGCCCGCAGAUGGAGAUAUUUCACCAAAGAGGCCUCAGGACGUCUUCUAUCCCCUCUGAUGCUAUUUCCACGGAAAGGCCAAGAUUUCCUUCUGGUGCCUGAGACUGGGAGGAUGAGCUCAGGGAGGACUUCACGGGCCUCCGCUGGGCUCUGGGAGCUGCAGGCCUGUGCUCCUUCCCAAGUCCCAGUACCCAAUUCCACGGCUCUCAACGCCGGCUGCACCUUAGAACCUUCUGGAAGAGACUCUAAAAUACAGACGCUCAGGCCGCGCCCCCGAGAGCCCGAUGGAAGUGGUCGGCGCGCUGGCGUCCGGGUAACAGGUGAUUGUUUUCCUUCGUGGGUGGAGACAGAAGGGGGUUAUAAUAACCAGAAGGUUCUGGGUCAAUCGGCUCCAACAAUCGACUGGCCAGGGGAGAGAAACUCCGUAAAAGAUUGAUCUGACCCAUGGGUGAUCCCUGUUUCCUGCAAAUAGACUAUUUUCAGGCCCGGCCUGAGAGAGGGCCCGAGCUGGCGGUGGCGGGAGGCCAGUCGGCCAAGGACGCAGCCCGGAGCGUGGGAAUCCCGAAGGGCCUAGGCUCUUCCACGUGCCAUCAGUCUCUCCAUUUGCCACCGAGGUCGGGAAGACACAGACUCCCCCAAGGGCUCCGUGUCAGCGUGACGCAGGGACAGGAGGACCCGGGGACAGUCCAAGCAGUCUCAUAAGUCAGAAAAGACCGACUUCUGGGACCCCUGGGGGGCUCAGCGGUUUGGCGCCUGCCUUCGGCCCAGGGCGUGAUCCUGGAGACCCAGGAUCGAGUCCCACGUCGGGCUCCCUGCGUGGAGCCUGCUUCUCCCUCUGCCUGGGUCUCUGCCUCUCUCUCUCUGCAUCUCUCAUGAAUAAAUAAAAUCUUCAAAAAAAAAAAAAAAAAAAA
rnacentral:lncRNA from 1 species